AAGGGAUGGAAAGUAAUGGGGGAAUGUAAUAUUGUCGUGAUGCAAACGAGCAGUGCUGCUGUCUCUGAAUACAAAAAAAUAAUGAUUUUUGCACCUUGAAAGGGUCUUGCAGUUCUGCUGGGUGUACGGAGCGGAAUGGGAAUAGUGAUUGUGAGAUGGGCAGUUCCCCAUUAGGGCAGAAUGAAUGGCUGCACCAGCCCUGGGAUGGGGGUUCAAGCCCUAUUCUUAUAGGAAGAACUGCACCCCAAAGUGAGCGCAGCACCACAUUGAACCCUUCUGGCUUCACUGUGGCCGUCCCUCGGUCUCCCAUCUGCAUGAGAAUAAUUCCACCCUUCCUCAUGGGGCUGUUGUAAGGCAAAUUAAUGUUUGCAAACCACUCGGAUACUACAAUAAUAAAUGCUGGGAAAGCCCAGGAGAAAAUUAAUAGCUCAUUAUUUAGAGCAGGACUUCAAUAGCAUGCCAUGCGCAGGAUAUGGAGCUACGUGUUGAGUGAUGAGGAUAAAGAAAAAUAUUGAAUAGCUGCUCAUUAGGAGAGCACCAUCCAUCUGGUGUGCGGAUGGGGCUUUUUCAUGCAGAAAGUGGUGCGUGGCCAUUGUUAGGCAGUGUGUUCUGCUGGAUCCAUGCGAGGGGAUGGGGUCAGGGUUGGGUGCACAGCCCAGAUUUUGGCAUUUUUCUACUUCCAAGUGCUUGACUGCAACCUGACUGCUCUUUCAGCACUGGGGUUGGGUUGAAUAUAUAGCGAAGAGAUAAAAAUGCCAGUAGAUGGCACUCAAGAAUAUGAAGCAUCAUUCUCGGGUGCGUGAGAGCAAUAAAAUGUGUUGUUGUGGUCCACAAAUGGCUUCCUCUGAGCUGCUGCUUUCUGCCUUUUCCUGGCCUGUGAGCUCCACGAGCAGAGGAGAAGCAAGGAUGGCAGCACUUGUGAGGACACGGAAGCUUCUGGCUCUGAAUUUAAACCCGAAGACAGUCGAGAUCUCAAUGACAGCCAGGUCAGUCUCUUGGGUUUAAUUGUCUUUUAAAUGAGUAACUAAAUUGUGAUGUUAACACUGAUGGUGUCCAUGCCUUCUGCAUGCCCUGUUUUGCAAAAGUGAAUCCUUAUCAUUGCUGAGAUGUGUUGUGGAAAAGGCACUGGGCCAGGCUGAUGUUUUAGACUUGGAACUCAGUUUCUGGAUGGGCACGAGCUCUCCGUGAAGCUCUUUGGUGUGAGAUAUGGAGGCAGAUCAAGGCAGGUUGGUUUGUGUGAGCCUGAGGGUGCAAGUCCUGCAGGAGGUCCUGCACUCGUCCAGAUCUCUGUCCCUGCUGCCUUUCUGUGGGGAACAAAGGGGAGGUGCUGUAUGAGACUCGGUGUGGUCUGCAGAUUCCUUCUGGAAUAGGACAAGUGUUCCAAAACAAACAAAUCCCCCCUGCAAAUAUUUGUUUAAAUGCUCCGCUUUUACAGUUGAUAUUCCAUUUGCAUGUGGGAUGGGGAAAUGAUGCGUUUUAACCCAAACAGUGGAAAUGAGAAUGAGAGAGAAACCAGCAGAUAAAAAUGUGUG
rnacentral:lncRNA from 1 species